UGUGGAAAGGCAUGCAAAAUGGGGAAACCAAUUUGUAAGGGUGAUAAUGGUUGCUGAAUGGCUUAAGUGGGUGUAUACGAGUUUCAAAGGUCGCACAUCGAGAAUUCCCCUCCCGGGCACUCGUAUUCCAUCUUAUCAUGGAAAACAUACGCGUAUUCGAAGCAGUUCUUGCUGGUUUUCGUUGUAAAGAAACCCUAAACUUGAACGAUCAAUCUGAGGUGCUCGUAAUGAAUGAGUACUUCGCAGAUUGACAGAUAAACUUAGAUGCAUAACAGCUUAUAGUGUGCUAUAGGACGGGCCUCUCUGCAGUGGCGGCUCCAACUAAUUGUGGGAGCCUGAUUUCCCCAAUUACCAACAACAAAACAACAACAAAACCACUAUUGUCUCUCGAUCUGAACUUUUCUCUUUUAAUGAACAAUUCACACGUUUCGAUAAUUUGUAUAAAUUAAACUUAGAAGCUAAGCA